GGACGGAACUCUGGAGAGACCAUUUUGGCACCGAAGGGGCAAGGUAGUCCUGCUUGGAAAAGUAGAGCUACUGAAACUCUCAGGUAAAAGGACAGAGCGUUGAAA
rnacentral:ncRNA from 5 species